UUUAAAUGAAUAAAUAAAUAAUAUGCGCCAAUCAGAAAGCAGCUAAAUCGCAGUUACGAAGUGGACCAUUGCGCAUCGCGGUGCGCACGGCGUCAGUCUACGGUUGAAAAUCAUGGUGAGUGGAUGUGUUGUCGACGUGGGAAAUACGCAAAAAUAUUUGUGACUGCGUGCAAUGCAGUUAAUAGAGUCAGUGUUUGUUCGUCAUAGUAUUUUUAGUAUUUUUUAUGAAUACAGUGGUCUAAUUAAAUUAAAUUAUAGGAGUCAAACGCGAAAGUAGAGUCAGUGUUUGCUCGCCGAUAUAAGUUCAUAAUUUACACGGUUAUGUGCUAUUAGUUUCAUAUUUUUAUUAUUGAAUUUGUUUUUAUGGAUAUUCGAUAAAAAAUAUCAGUGUACGAAGAAUAGUAUCAAGCAUGCAAAAAGAUUUCUAUCAACUUUCACAUCCUCCUAUAUUUUCUCGAUGACUUUUGGAUUAUAGCAGCAAUAAAGACGUUCGUCGCAUCAUUUGAGGGACCGAGCUUUAUCAUGCCAAUAAGAAACGUGACGAUUCCGAUGGGCAGGAAAGCCGUGCUCACUUGCGUCGUUGCAAAUCUUUCUAUCUACAAGGUAAAUUUUCCACUAACCAUGUCUCUUAAUCUCUGAAUCCUUUUUUCGCCUUUCUUUUCAUCCUCAAAAUUACAUUGCAUGGUUAGAUUCCGAUCGAAUGGAAAUCACUUUCUACCGAAUCACUUUAUAUCGCGUUCCUUUAUUUUACGUAGAUAAUUCUCUAUACAUACAUUACAUACGUGUAUGAA